UAUUUAGUUUUAUACAUUUAGUAAUUGAAUGUACAUUUGCUUUAUAUUUACAGGAUGGAGAAAGAUGUUCACUAUGGAUAAAAAAUUCAAAACAGAGGACUAAAAAAUAAGUCUUUUAUAUAUAAACAAAAAUACGUAUACAUGUAUGACAUACAUGCAACUAGAAAACAGUAAUCAAAUGGAAUGUCUAUGUGAUUGCAACAACACAUUUUAAUGGAGUGAUGUUGAAAGCAAAAUUAUUUUUGUUAAUAGAAAACAAUAGGACUACAAUAUAUAAAGGUACACAACACAUCAGAAGAAUAAUUUUACUGGAGGAUAAAAAUUUUAAUACCUGGAAUCGGCAAUUUAUAUGAAAUUUGUUAAGAGAGAUAUAUUCACGUACAGAAUGGUAACCCCACCAGAUAACCCUGAGGUGGUUUAAGUGAUUAUUAGCAGACAUUUUUGUUGAAUUAAUGCAAAAUUUAAUAAAUGAAACUUUAGCAGACUAUGGGCUCCAAAUUGUUGUAAAAAGAGCAUGUUGUGCAUAUGUGAAAUGUUGCAAUAUUUUUUUUUUUAAAUUCAGAUUAUUGACUCAGUUGUUUUCAUGAAUUUUUUUCUCAAAGCAAUAUCACUGUUAUAUAAUUAACAAGAUUCCGUAUGUUAUAUUUUAUACUUUUAAAAACCGAAUAUAUCUUCCCUCUGGCCUCAAGUGUUUCCCUUUUAUUUUGCAUAAGUGUAAUUUAAAGAAAGCUCCCUUUUGCUUUUGGCAAAUUCAAGUUUUGCCAUUCCAGAAUUAUUGGACUUUUUUCAUGGAAAAUUAGAUAUUUACAUGUACCCAAAUGUUGUUGAACUCAACUUUGCCUUGAUACUUGUUCAAGAAAUUGUAUCACAAGGCUAGAUUUGAUCAAAUAAGCUCACUUUUGAGUAUUUAUCACAUAUCACAUACUUAAAUAAAAUCUAGUAUGCUUAAA